rnacentral:lncRNA from 1 species
UUUUCCUAUCUUAUGAUGGGUUAAAAUUAAGAGUGGUUAAUAUUUUGAAAUAAAUAAAUAAAUGAAUGAAUGAUGAUGAAUGAAGUUCUUAUGCAAGAAUAGAGACAUUGACCUUUUUCUAUUCACAAGAGAUAGAUUUGAUUUUAAUUUGAGUCAUGAGAUAUUGAAUGUUAAUUUUUACAGGAAAUAAGAUCAUAAUUUUGAAAUCUUGAAAUAUUGAAAAUCUUUGAGAUGUUGAUCUUAAUAAAUAAGAAAAUGGAUGGUUCCGUUCAGAUCGAUAUUUGAUGUACCGAUUUUUUCUUAUGAAAUGAUUUAAGAAUGAAUUUAUAUCAAGAAUUAAAAUAUUUAUGGAUGAGAUUCAAAUAAGAAACUAUGAAGACUCAAGCAAGGAAAAAUUUCGAGGACGAAAUUUCUUUUAGAGGGGAAGAAUGUGAGGCCUGGCCCAAGCAACGAAUCCUAAGCCCAAAAAAAAAAGAAAAACAGAGCAGGAAGACCCUAGGACGAGCUCUAUAAGAACCCUUCCCCUCUCCUCUAUGGGUAGACCCUUCCGUCGCCGUCGAUUGCCGAAGAUUUUUCUCCAAUUUUCCCGUUUGAAGCCGUGACUCCUCGACCCAUGUUCGCCGCGAUUUCUCGCCGGUGGGGGUCACCGGAGGUUGUGGUAAGGUCUCCCUCCUCUCCCUCUCUUCUCUCCCUUCUUUCUCGUGCCUGUGUGCACGAUGGCC